rnacentral:rRNA from 1 species
AACACAUGCAAGUCGACUGGAAUUCUUCUUCGGAAGAUAGUACGGUGGCGGACGGGUGAGUAACGCGUAAAGAAUUUGCCCUUCAGACUGGGACAACUAAUCGAAAGGUUAGCUAAUACCGGAUAUUAUGAGACCUUGGCAUCAAGGACUUAUGAAAGCUAUAUGCGCUGGAGGAGAACUUUGCGUUCCAUUAGCUAGUUGGUAGGGUAAUGGCCUACCAAGGCGACGAUGGAUAGCCGGCCUGAGAGGGUGAACGGCCACAAGGGGACUGAGACACGGCCCUUACUCCUACGGGAGGCAGCAGUGGGGAAUAUUGGACAAUGGACCAAAAGUCUGAUCCAGCAAUUCUGUGUGCACGAUGAAGGUCUUCGGAUUGUAAAGUGCUUUCAGGUGGGAAGAAGAAAGUGACGGUACC